GACGAACGCUGGCGGCGUGCUUAACACAUGCAAGUCGAACGGAAAGGCCCCCAUCUUGGUGGGGGUGCUCGAGUGGCGAACGGGUGAGUAACACGUGUGUGAUCUGCCCUGUACUUCGGGAUAAGCUUGGGAAACUGGGUCUAAUACCGGAUAGGACCAUGGUUUAGUGUCUCAUGGUGGAAAGAUUAUUGUUUUGGUGCAGGAUGAGCUCGCGGCCUAUCAGCUUGUUGGUGGGGUAAUGGCCUACCAAGGCGUCGACGGGUAGCCGGCCUGAGAGGGUGGACGGCCACAUGGGGACGGAGAAGCGGCCCAGACUCCUACGGGAGGCAGCGGUGGGGAAUAUUGCACAAUGGGCGAAAGCCUGAUGCAGCGACGCCGCGUGGGGGAUGACGGCCUUCGGGUUGUAAACUCCUUUCGUUGGGGACGAAGCCGCACUUUUUUGGGUGUGGUGACGGUACCUUUGUUAAGAAGCACCGGCUAACUACGUG
rnacentral:rRNA from 1 species